AUACGAAGGGGGCUAGCGUUGUUCGGAAUUACUGGGCGUAAAGCGCGCGUAGGCGGAUUGGUCAGGUAGGGGUGAAAUCCCAGGGCUUAACCCUGGAACUGCCUCUAAUACUGCCAGUCUUGAGUUCGGGAGAGGUGAGUGGAAUUCCUAGUGUAGAGGUGAAAUUCGUAGAUAUUAGGAAGAACACCAGUGGCGAAGGCGGCUCACUGGCCCGAUACUGACGCUGAGGCGCGAAAGCGUGGGGAGCAAACAGGAUUAGAAACCCUAGUAGUCC
rnacentral:rRNA from 1 species